AUUGAACGCUGGCGGCAGGCCUAACACAUGCAAGUCGAACGGUAGCACAGAGAGCUUGCUCUCGGGUGACGAGUGGCGGACGGGUGAGUAACGUCUGGGAAACUGCCCGAUGGAGGGGGAUAACUACUGGAAACGGUAGCUAAUACCGCAUAACGUCGCAAGACCAAAGUGGGGGACCUUCGGGCCUCACACCAUCGGAUGUGCCCAGAUGGGAUUAGCUAGUAGGUGGGGUAAUGGCUCUCCUAGGCGACGAUCCCUAGCUGGUCUGAGAGGAUGACCAGCCACACGGGAACCGAGACACGGUCCAGACUCCUACGGGAGGCAGCAGUGGGGAAUAUUGCACAAUGGGCGCAAGCCUGAUGCAGCCAUGCCGCGUGUAUGAAGAAGGCCUUCGGGUUGUAAAGUACUUUCAGCGGGGAGGAAGGCGGUGAAGUUAAUAACUUCACCGAUUGACGUUACCCGCAGAAGAAGCACCGGCUAACUCCGUGCCAGCAGCCGCCGUAA
rnacentral:rRNA from 1 species